AUUCACCUAAAAUUAUUCUACUCCUAUCCAGGAGAGAAUAGCCAAAAACAUUAUCCUAUCCCUGUUAUUCCCCAUGAAAUAAAUGCUCUUGAUAUUUUGGUUACUCCCACUUGCUACAUUAUUCUAGUAGGGUGAGUGCUCUGAAAACAAAACAAGGAAAUAAAAAGGGGCAAGUGCCCGGAACCUCAAAGAAAAGAAAAAGUGAGACGAGAGGUAAAAAUGGACAAGUGUCCGACAAUAGAAUUAGGGGUACAAGAUACCCACCUGAGAGGAAAGAAAAAGAAAAUAUAGAGCAUCUCAUUCUCCUCAAAAAGCUUCAAAGUGCAAGAAAGGUGUGUAUCCCCUCAAAAGAGCAAAAGUAGAAUUAGGCUUUCACCAUUGUUUUCAUCAUUAUCACCAUUAUCACCAUACACCAUUCAUUCGCCAC
rnacentral:lncRNA from 1 species